rnacentral:rRNA from 1 species
GCUUGACUGUAUCCUGGAAUGGGGUUCGGCUUUUCUUGCGCAGUCUAGUGGGAGGCUUUGAAGGUUUCCUUCGGGAAAUUGGAGCCAUCAGUGAGAGACCACUCUGGAAAGGCUAGAAUCCUAAUAGUGAUCCUUGAAUCAGGACACUUGACAGUUUCAGGUGGGCAGUUUGUUUGGGCGAACGCUUAAAGUACUAAGGCGUGCAAAGGUUCCCUCAUCUGGACGGAAAUCAGAUGUUGAGUGUAAAGGCAUAAGGGAGCUUGACUGCAAGACCUACAAGUCGAGCAGGGCGAAAGCCGGCCUUAGUGAUCCGACGUGCCGUGUGGAAGGGCCGUCGCUCAACGGAUAAAAGUUA